rnacentral:rRNA from 1 species
AGUGGGAGCACAGGUUUACCUGUGUGACUGCGUACCUUUUGUAUAAUGGGUCAGCGACUUAUAUUCUGUAGCAAGGUUAACCGUAUAGGGGAGCCGUAGGGAAACCGAGUCUUAACCGGGCGUUAAGUUGCAGGGUAUAGACCCGAAACCCGGUGAUCUAGCCAUGGGCAGGUUGAAGGUUGGGUAACACUAACUGGAGGACCGAACCGACUAAUGUUGAAAAAUUAGCGGAUGACCUGUGGCUGGGGGUGAAAGGCCAAUCAAACCGGGAGAUAGCUGGUUCUCCCCGAAAGCUAUUUAGGUAGCGCCUCGUGAAUUCAUCUCCGGGGGUAGAGCACUGUUUCGGCUAGGGGGCCAUCCCGGCUUACCAACCCGAUGCAAACUGCGAAUACCGGAGAAUGUUAUCACGGGAGACACACGGCGGGUGCUAACGUCCGUCGUGAAGAGGGAAACAACCCAGACCGCCAGCUAAGGUCCCAAAGUCAUGGUUAAGUGGGAAACGAUGUGGGAAGGCCCAGACAGCCAGGAUGUUGGCUUAGAAGCAGCCAUCAUUUAAAGAAAGCGUAAUAGCUCACUGGUCGAGUCGGCCUGCGCGGAAGAUGUAACGGGGCUAAACCAUGCACCGAAGCUGCGGCAGCGACACUGUGUGUUGUUGGGUAGGGGAGCGUUCUGUAAGCCUGUGAAGGUGGCCUGUGAGGGUUGCUGGAGGUAUCAGAAGUGCGAAUGCUGACAUAAGUAACGAUAAAGCGGGUGAAAAGCCCGCUCGCCGGAAGACCAAGGGUUCCUGUCCAACGUUAAUCGGGGCAGGGUGAGUCGACCCCUAAGGCGAGGCCGAAAGGCGUAGUCGAUGGGAAACGGGUUAAUAUUCCCGUACUUGGUGUUACUGCGAAGGGGGGACGGAGAAGGCUAUGUUGGCCGGGCGACGGUUGUCCCGGUUUAAGCGUGUAGGUGUGUGUUCCAGGUAAAUCCGGUUCACUUUAACACUGAGGCGUGACGACGAGGCACUACGGUGCUGAAGCAACAAAUGCCCUGCUUCCAGGAAAAGCCUCUAAGCAUCAGGUAACAUCAAAUCGUACCCCAAACCGACACAGGUGGUCAGGUAGAGAAUACCAAGGCGCUUGAGAGAACUCGGGUGAAGGAACUAGGCAAAAUGGUGCCGUAACUUCGGGAGAAGGCACGCUGACACGUAGGUGAAGUGAUUUACUCAUGGAGCUGAAGUCAGUCGAAGAUACCAGCUGGCUGCAACUGUUUAUUAAAAACACAGCACUGUGCAAACACGAAAGUGGACGUAUACGGUGUGACGCCUGCCCGGUGCCGGAAGGUUAAUUGAUGGGGUCAGCGCAAGCGAAGCUCCUGAUCGAAGCCCCGGUAAACGGCGGCCGUAACUAUAACGGUCCUAAGGUAGCGAAAUUCCUUGUCGGGUAAGUUCCGACCUGCACGAAUGGCGUAAUGAUGGCCAGGCUGUCUCCACCCGAGACUCAGUGAAAUUGAACUCGCUGUGAAGAUGCAGUGUACCCGCGGCAAGACGGAAAGACCCCGUGAACCUUUACUAUAGCUUGACACUGAACAUUGAGCCUUGAUGUGUAGGAUAGGUGGGAGGCUUUGAAGUGUGGACGCCAGUCUGC